CAUUAAGAAGCUACUGCAGCAUUAACCUUUUAAGUUAAAGACGGGGAUUUUAAUCUCCCCCUUAAUGA
rnacentral:tRNA from 1 species